UCCCACCUCACUGAUUGAAUACCAGGCCACCACACAUGAGCUGAAGCGGCCAGGCUCCUCCCCGCUGCACAAGGUGCGAAAUUCCUGUGGCUCCACCCCAGUCUCUCAGUGUGCAGCUUUCUCCAGAAUUGGGAAAUCCCUCAACCUGGCAAAAGUAUAGCUCAAAUGUGCCUCAGCUACCAUUUCCUGGUGGCAGUCCUCAACCAAUGGGUGCUGGGAAUUGGUGAACAACACCCCAGCCCCCCAGCCUCCAGAGAAACAAUUCUGAGUGACAUGGAUGAUGAUAACCAGUCUAUGCCCACAGUGAUUAUCAGCUCAGCAAUGUACCCUUUACUGGCUUUUCCUCCUUCCAUAUGUCAAUAUUCCUGCUCCCUCACUCCUGCUUCCUGGAAUUACCUUCCCAGAAAAACUUCAUUCAGCCCUGCCCUGGCUCUGGGAAACUGGGGAUGGCCUCUGUGAACCCCCUUUGAGAGGUGAAGCCAGCUGGACUUCUGGGUCGGGUGGCGACUUGGAGAACUUUUCUGUCUUACAAGAGGAUUAUAAAAUGCACCAAUCAGCACUCUGUAGCUAGGAUUGUAAAAUGCACCAGUCAGUGUUCUGUGGCUAGCUAGAGGUUUGUAAAAUGGACCAAUCAGUGCUCUGUAAAAUGGACCAAUCAGCACUCUGUAAAAUGGACCAAUCUGCACUCUGUAAAAUGGACCAAUCAGCAGGAUGUGGGUGGGGACAAAUAAAAGAAUAACACCUGGCCACCCC
rnacentral:lncRNA from 1 species